UACAGAGGUCUCAAGCGUUGUUCGGAUUCAUUGGGCGUAAAGGGUGCGUAGGCGGCGCUGUAAGUCAGGUGUGAAAUUUCGGAGCUCAACUCCGAAACUGCAUUUGAUACUGCGGUGCUUGAGGACUGGAGAGGAGACUGGAAUUCACGGUGUAGCAGUGAAAUGCGUAGAUAUCGUGAGGAAGACCAGUGGCGAAGGCGGGUCUCUGGACAGUUCCUGACACUGAGGCACGAAGGCCAGGGGAGCAAACGGG
rnacentral:rRNA from 1 species